AACGAACGCUGGCGGCAGGCUUAACACAUGCAAGUCGAGCGCCCCGCAAGGGGAGCGGCAGACGGGUGAGUAACACGUGGGAAUCUACCCAUCCCUACGGAACAACUCCGGGAAACUGGAGCUAAUACCGUAUACGCCCUUCGGGGGAAAGAUUUAUCGGGGAUGGAUGAGCCCGCGUUGGAUUAGCUAGUUGGUGGGGUAAAGGCCUACCAAGGCGACGAUCCAUAGCUGGUCUGAGAGGAUGAUCAGCCACAUUGGGACUGAGACACGGCCCAAACUCCUCCGGGAGGCAGCAGUGGGGAAUAUUGGACAAUGGGCGCAAGCCUGAUCCAGCCAUGCCGCGUGAGUGAUGAAGGCCUUAGGGUUGUAAAGCUCUUUCACCGAUGAAGAUAAUGACGGUAGUCGGAGAAGAAGCCCCGGCUAACUUCGUGCCAGCCGCCGCAGUAACAC
rnacentral:rRNA from 1 species